rnacentral:SRP_RNA from 2 species
GCCGGGUGUGGUGGCGUGCACCUGUAAUCUCAGCUACUCAGGAGGCUGAGGCAGGAGAAUCGCUUGAACCCGGGAGGUGAAUAUUGCAGUGAGCCGAGAUCAUGCCACUGCACUCCAGCCUGGGUGACAGAGUGAGACUCUGUCUCAA